rnacentral:rRNA from 1 species
CCUUGGAGAGGGGAAUAACACAGAGAAAUUUGUUGCUAAUACCGCAUGAUGCAGUUGGGUCGCAUGGCUCUGACUGCCAAAGAUUUUAUCGCUCUGAGAUGGCCUCGCGUCUGAUUAGGUAGUUGGUGGGGCAACGGCUCACCAAGCCGACGAUCAGUAGCCGGACUGAGAGGUUGACCGGCCACAUUGGGACUGAGACACGGCCCAG